UCGAGAAUCUUUCGCAAUGGGCGCAAGCCUGACGAAGCGACGCCGUGUGAGUGAAGAAGGCCUUCGGGUUGUAAAACUCUUUCGCUAGGGAACAAGAGAGGUAGGAUAACACCCUGCCGAUUUGAUGGUACUUGGUAAAGAAGCACCGGCUAACUCCGUGCCAGCAGCUGCGGUAAUACGGAGGGUGCAAGCAUUGAUCGGAAUUACUGGGCGUAAAGGGCGCGUAGGCGGCCUGAAAAGUCAGAUGUGAAAUUCCAGGGCUCAACCCUGGAGCUGCAUUUGAAACUUUCAGACUAGAGUGUAGUUAGGGUAAACGGAAUUCCACGUGUAGCGGUGAAAUGCGUAGAUAUGUGGAAGAACACCGGUGGUGAAGACGGUUUACUGGGCUAUAACUGACGCU
rnacentral:rRNA from 1 species